CACGCAUGACACACUGCAUAUCAAUAAGCGGAGGAAAAGAAACUAACAAGGAUUCCCUUAGUAACGGCGAGUGAAGCGGGAAGAGCUCAAAUUUGAAAUCUUCAAGGUUCUACCUUGACGAAUUGUAGUUUAUAGAAGUGUUUUCUGUUAGUAGAGUGGCAAGAGUUCUUUGGAAUAGGACAUCAUAGAGGGUGAGAAUCCCGUAUUUGACCAUUAUUUCCAGCUGUGUGAUACACUUUCAAAGAGUCGGAUUGUUUGGGAAUGCAGUCCAAAAUGGGUGGUAAAUUUCAUCUAAAGCUAAAUACUUGGCGAGAGACCGAUAGCGAACAAGUACCGUGAGGGAAAGAUGAAAAGAACUUUGAAAAGAGAGUUAAACAGUACGUGAAAUUGUCAAAAGGGAAGCGUUUGACACCAGUGUUGUUUUUCCGAAAAUCAAUUACGAAUGUUUUGUUUUUGAGAGAGUUAUGACUUCAUCGGCUUGCUUCCUUUCUUUAUGAAACUUUCUUAAUGCACUUUUCGGUUAACAAGUCAACAUCAAUUUCUUUUGUUGUAAAAGGGUAAGAGGAAGGUGGCUUACGCUUCGGCGUAAGUGUUUAUAGCCUUUUACCUCUGCAAUCGGAGAGAUUGAGGACAGCAGCGUAGACUCCUUCGGGGGUUAGAUACACUUGUACUAAGCUAUAGCCUUGUAUAGACAACUUGUUGACUAUGCUCAGUCAUGUAGCUUACUCGCUUGUGCUAUUUUACCUACGCUUAGGAUGUUGAGCGCAUGUCUCUCUCU
rnacentral:rRNA from 1 species